rnacentral:sRNA from 1 species
AGAUGAGGUUAAGGGUUCCUGUGGUGGUUUAUUUGGGACACUGAUUACUCACAGUAAAAUGUCUACAAAUCUUUGAAUGUAGAUAGAACAUGGUGAGUCUAAACAUGGUGAGACUGGGCAUGAUUCAGAAAAGUUGGAAGAUCUAGAGAGGGAUCUUGCAAUCUGAAGUUUCUUGUUUAGUCACUGGAGGUGAGCCCGAGAAUUUGCAUUUCUGACAAGAUCCCAGGUGAGGCUCACUCGUGCUGCUGGCUUUGGGAUCACACUUAACUACCGGUAUAGUGGGGAAAGACAGGGUUUGGGGUCACAGAGGGCAGAGCUGGAAUUCCAGCUCCCUCCAGCUGUCAGACUUUGGGCCAGGCACUUAGUUCCUCUGAGCCUCAUCUAUGAAACUAAAACAUCUGGGUAUUUCCCCCGCAAGGGGAUGAUGAGGAUUGUAUGAGCUCAUGUGUGUUAGAAGCUGCUCGCAGCCUUUGAGUACACAGCAAGCACUCAGAUCUGAACGUCUAUGACACUCUUUCGAGCUGACACAGUGAAGAACAUGGAAGGAGAACUCACCCAGUCUGCCAGGGUCACAGAUGAUCAUACUCAAGAUCUUCCUGGGGAGUCAAUGGCAAAUUUCAC